rnacentral:lncRNA from 1 species
UUCCAAUAAACAACAUCAGCAGCAAGAAUAUAUACUAAAAAAGGGCAGCCCGGCGUACUAAGCGCCCGCUAUGCACGGGGUACGGGGAAGGGUUGGACCACAAGGGUCUAUCGUACGCAGCCUUACCCUACAUUUCCACAAGAGGCUAUUUCUACAGCUCGAACCCGUGACAUGCUGAUCACCUGGCGGCAACUUUAUCACUUACGCCAAGUCUCCCCUUCAGGAUAAACAUAUACUAUCUGAAAUAAAUAAAUGAAUAAACAUAUACCUGCUAUAUAUAAAAUAUAGUAUACGAGGGAAAAAAGCAAGUAAACAUCUUUGAACUUCAUAACUGCAAUUUCAACACUUCCUUCAGCAAAUAGGCUUACAGUCACAGCAGUGAGUGCCUCUCCCAAUUGAGGAAAAAUGACGAGACUUUACUAAAAACAUGAAAGUCCUAGGCUCUUAGCUACUAAUUUCUUCAAAGGACUGGAGAAAGCUAAAAUCUAAAAUCAAAACCAGAAAUAGAAACCAUUAAUUAAACAUUUCAGCAAACAAUAAUACCGAUGGUUUUUCAAAGAAAGGAAAAUCCCCUGAAAAUGACUGAGACGUAGAUUCUCAAGAAUCAAGCCGGCUAUAGACAAAACAUCUUCUAUUCAAUAGACAAAAGCUCAUACUAAUAAGAAACGCUGCUACAAAAAAAAAAUCAUCAACAAAAUUACCGAGUAUAUCAACAAAGUAGCCUUCUGCAUUCAGCAAGUUGG